AUACGUAGGGUGCGAGCGUUAAUCGGAAUUACUGGGCGUAAAGCGUGCGCAGGCGGCUUUGCAAGACAGAGGUGAAAUCCCCGGGCUCAACCUGGGGAACUGCCUUUGUGACUGCAAGGCUAGAGUACGGCAGAGGGGGAUGGAAUUCCGCGUGUAGCAGUGAAAUGCGUAGAUAUGCGGAGGAACACCGAUGGCGAAGGCAAUCCCCUGGGCCUGUACUGACGCUCAUGCACGAAAGCGUGGGGAGC
rnacentral:rRNA from 1 species